GGACAGGAGGGCAGAGUCUACAGCAUCUAACACUGUUGACUGACAGAGCAUGGAAAGACUGAAUGUGUCAUGCACUGUGCAAUAGAGACAAAUUGUCAUCGUGGUGAAAGCAGGUUCUAUGGAGUGGUCGGGAACCGAAGUUAUUGUGCUGCAGAUGCCGUAAUGGACUGUGUCCGCUGGCCUCCCGCCAAGAGGUGAAACUUGCAAAUGAGAGCCAGCUGCGGUGGUAGUGGUGAGAUUUGUGCUUGCCUUACGUUACCCAAGCUUCUUCUCCUUGAGGAAAUCACCAUUCAGGAUACAGAAUGGGCAUGUAACCAUGGCAGGAGCCAAGGGUGCGCAUAUGAGCCAAGCAAGGUCAGACAAAGUCUUUUUUUAGUAAUUUCAAAGAGAAAAUAAAGAAGCAUUUUCUACUGUGGUUGUUAAACUAGGAGGAUGGAAGUCUGGAACUGCAAACAGCCAUCUUGCCUGCCAAGUGGACUUCAUGCAGAAUGGAUUCAACUAGAAAAUUUCAUUGCUGAAGUGUGCGUUCCUCAGCUUCCCUGGAAUAUUUGGCAGUAUAUUUCCUUUGAACUUAAGCCAGUUUGAACUGGCUUUCUGUCACUGGCAAUUCAAAGUGUCUUACAGAAUACAGACUUCAAAGACUUCAUAGUGUAAUACAAAAAUACAGCUGGAAUGGUAAAAUUGUCCUGAGGUGACCAAGCUAAACUAUACAGGUAUUUCCACUUGUGAUUAAUAGGAAUAAUUUUUUUUGCAAUAUAUCAUUCCAAUAAA
rnacentral:lncRNA from 10 species